rnacentral:lncRNA from 1 species
GACCCACAAGAGGAGGCUGUCGAAAGAGCAACAGGAGGCUGGAAGCGAGCCGUAGUGAAGCAAGGCUUCGAUAGUGGCACAGAGACGUUAGUGUUCGCCACCGGCUCAUGAGAAGAUAGUUGAAGUCCGCCGGCUGAUAGGGAGAAGUCGUCGCAUGCCACGUCCUUGACCUUCUUCAAAGCAAAUCACUGGCUUGCAGCAAUUUGAAAU